UACGUAGGGUGCGAGCGUUGUCCGGAAUUAUUGGGCGUAAAGGGCUCGUAGGCGGUUUGUCGCGUCGGGAGUGAAAUCCACUGGCUUAACUGGUGGCUUGCUUUCGAUACGGGCAGACUGGAGGUAUGCAGGGGAGAACGGAAUUCCUGGUGUAGCGGUGAAAUGCGGCAGAUAUCAGGAGGAACACCGGUGGCGAAGGCGGUUCUCCUGGGCAUGUCCUGACGCUGAGGAGCGAAAGUGUGGGGAGCGAACAGG
rnacentral:rRNA from 1 species